rnacentral:rRNA from 1 species
UACGUAGGGUGCAAGCGUUGUCCGGAAUUAUUGGGCGUAAAGAGCUCGUAGGCGGUCUGUCACGUCGGCUGUGAAAACCUGGGGCUCAACCCCGGGCCUGCAGCCGAUACGGGCAGACUAGAAUUCGGCAGGGGAGACUGGAAUUCCUGGUGUAGCGGUGAAAUGCGCAGAUAUCAGGAGGAACACCGGUGGCGAAGGCGGGUCUCUGGGCCGAUAUUGACGCUGAGGAGCGAAAGCGUGGGGAGCGAACAGG